UGGAGAGGAAGUUUUCAGUGAUGUACAGAAGCAUUAAGCCCUUAAAGGACAUGCUGUCAGAAGUAGAAGAAUACUUGGUACACACAAAUGGAUUUUCCUGAAAGCCAUAAUGGCAUGAGCAGUGUCUUGUGAUGGGAAUGCCAGGCACCCUGAUGAAAGAUUUCCUGACAACUGUAGUACAAUAGAGGAAGACAGUCAAAUGGAGGAACAAAUACAUUUAGCCUCAUCAGUGAUGGGUUGGAACACUGUCAGUGCUGCCUGACAAAUGUGGAUGAUCUGUAACUGGAAGGAACUGUUAACAACUGAAGAUUUGUUGUGUCUUGAAGUGGGAUUCCAUGUUUUCAAAAGCUUCCUGAAACAGCUGCUGCAAUUUUUAGUGGAUACUGUUUUCAGAAGUUGUAUGUGAACAAAAAAAAUCACUCUGCAUAUUUAAAAUAACACUUUUCCCAAAACAUUGAGCUGGCCUCUGUAGGAAUGAUAGCAGCAAUACUAGAGGCAUAAUUGAGGUUCAAUACAUGGAAAAAUUCUUGGGAGUAUUUGUUCUUUUAAAAUAUUAUAGGGUAUAGAAACUUGUGAUACUGAAGAACUGGUUUAACCCCAAAACACUGGAACCCACAGGUAGGCUCUGUAAAGAUGGGGAGAAUGCAAAAUGUGUGCACCAACUGAAACCAGUGAGUCUGCUUUCUGAGGGUAGUGCCAUCCAGCAGAUAGCAGAAAGUACAUGAGGUUAUGAUGUGGAAGCAUAAACAUGAAGCACUUGUAAGAAAAAGAUGUUACAUAAAAGGCAAAGUCUGAAACUGGCAUUGCCAUCUGUAUUAAGAGAGGAAUUGAAGGGUUUAUGGAUUGCCAUGCCACUGGAGCAUGAGAAGACUGGCACAACAACAGGGGAACUGCCCUUUGAGGAGUAUGCUGGCAAUGUUACCUGCUUGCUGUGGGGAAGAGGUUAGUGGGAGAAGGGAGUGCACAUACUUGGUCACCAAGUAAAAUAGAUUUUUAAAGGCAAGUUGUUGUGUAAUCUGUCUUAAAACAUGACUGGCAAACCCAAUUGUCAGGAAUGCUUUAUGAAAGAAGAAACUUGAGAAUGGAACAAUACUUAAAAAUAUAUAGAGUGAAUUUCAGAAAGCAUUGAAAUUCAGGAAAAACUACCCUAUAGUCUGCAGCAAAAAAACUAUUGGAUGCCAGCAGAUUUGAAGAGCUGGAGAAAUUCCUAUAGCUCAUGGAAUAUGCCCAUGUCUGUGUAAAUCCUAAUUCUAAGCAGCAUCUUGAAGUGUCAAACAGUACCAGUAGCAGUGUCUGAAGCACUGGGAAUGUCAAAACCAAGCAUCCACGUGGCUGUUAAAAUGUGCACUAAGGAACUGAUGGAACUACAGGAGUGUAUUGGCUUAUUGUUAAUAAGAUGUAACCAGCUACUGUGGCUAUAGAGAAAUUUACCACAGCACUGCUCUCAAUAGGAUCUGUGAUUUUUUUUUUUUCCUGUUAACAAAUGUUCCUGAGAAGGGUAGGUAUUUCCAUGUGCCAUAUUUUGUACAUACCCUUUAUUGAAUAAAG